UACGUAGGGUGCAAGCGUUGUCCGGAAUUAUUGGGCGUAAAGAGCGUGUAGGCGGCUUUACAGGUCCGUUGUGAAAACUCGAGGCUCAACCUCGAGACGCCGGUGGAAACCGUAAAGCUAGAGUCCGGAAGAGGAGAGUGGAAUUCCUGGUGUAGCGGUGAAAUGCGCAGAUAUCAGGAAGAACACCAAUGGCGAAAGCAGCUUUCUGGGACGGUACUGACGCUGAGACGCGAAAGCGUGGGGAGCGAACAGG
rnacentral:rRNA from 1 species